rnacentral:misc_RNA from 1 species
GCACUAGGUGUCAUACUCUUCAUGUAGUAAGGGCUCAUCGUUGCCUCUCCGGGAAUUCUUCUCUCAGAGAAACUGUCAAAUGUGUCCAAAGAUGCUUGCAGAAAGUAGCUCUCCUCCAUGCUGCCUAAGCUGCUAGCACUUAAAAGCUUUCGGUUCAAGUUUCCAUUCUCAAAACCAGAAUUGCUCUUUGCUGUGGCAUUUUGAUCAGAUGCAGCAGUAGAAUGAAUACUCGCUGUCUUUUCCAGAUCCAACCGAGCUGCUUUUUCCCUUUCAAUUUCCUGCUGUAGAAGCUCCCUGUGCAUCAGGGCAUCAUGCAACUCUUGCUUGUGUUUCUGCCUGAGUUC